AUUGAACGCUGGCGGCAUGCUUUACACAUGCAAGUCGAACGGUAACAGGGAGCUUGCUCCGCUGACGAGUGGCGAACGGGUGAGUAAUAUAUCGGAACGUACCCAAGAGUGGGGGAUAACGUAGCGAAAGUUACGCUAAUACCGCAUACGAUCCAAGGAUGAAAGUGGGGGACCGCAAGGCCUCAUGCUCCUGGAGCGGCCGAUAUCUGAUUAGCUAGUUGGUGAGGUAAAGGCUCACCAAGGCAACGAUCAGUAGCUGGUCUGAGAGGACGACCAGCCACACUGGGACUGAGACACGGCCCAGACUCCUACGGGAGGCAGCAGUGGGGAAUUUUGGACAAUGGGGGCAACCCUGAUCCAGCAAUGCCGCGUGAGUGAAGAAGGCCUUCGGGUUGUAAAGCUCUUUUGUCAGGGAAGAAACGGGAGUGGCUAAUAUCCAUUUCUAAUGACGGUACCUGAAGAAUAAGCACCGGCUAACUACGUGCCAGCAGCCGCAGUAAGAC
rnacentral:rRNA from 1 species